CCCUAUGUGAAUUGAUGAAGUUAUGUUGCAGUAAAUUGAAAAAGAGAACUAUACAUACAGGAUGAUUUAUUGUUAAUGUGAAAUUCAGCAUAAACCUGCAAAUGCACUAGCAGAAAUCCCUAGCUAUUUCAAAAUUCAUAUUAUGAGACAGACAAUCAGAUGCCCAACAAACAGAACAUGUUGUACUCUAUUAAUCCUGCAGUGACAGAUCCCCUUGCAUGCAUUUAGUUUUUCAAAUAAUACAAACAUAUGUCACCAUUUUGUUUUUAUUGAUUUUGGACUUUCAAAGUACAGCUACAGCACAAGGCAUUAUGAAGACAUUUAUUGCAGAGUUUGCUUUGAUUUGUUGUAGUCAAUUGAAAUUGUGUCAAAGUAAAGUCUUUAAUAUUAAAUAUGAUGAAUUCCCUUAGGCCCUAAUCCUGCAACAUCAUCCAACUCAAGGUGACUCCUGCCACUGGAGCACAGGAGCGUUGGGCUGGGAAGUGCUUCCCCGAGCACUGUUCACCUGCCUGCCAGUGCAGGAAAUUAUCAUUCAUUUCAUGUCAUAUGAAAUAUCCCCACUCACAAGUAUAUUAAACUCAUUCUUAAACUAGUUUCCUUCCAGUUGCUGCAACUAUUUGAAGACUGUUCUAGAAUCUUCUUUUUCUUUGAUACUCCCCACCUCUUUUUUUUUUUUAUAUUUGAUCAAUUUUUGGUCAAUAUGAACCCAUUUAUUUUGGGGGUGAAAGUAGCAGUUAGCUGCAAGAGACUUUUGUUAGUGACAAAUUUAAAGACAAUAACCAAUGUUAUUCUCAGCCUUGAAUUGUCUCUCGUGCUUAGAGAGCUGCAUUAGUAUGUUUGUGUCCUCGCUGGAGCUGGCUGGUCGAUCCAUACUAGCACUGUAUUUGCCUUGUCUGUAGCCACACAACCAAGCUUUUCUCCUCCUCAGUCUUCUCUAGCUGGUGAGUUUCCACUUUACAGCAAAAACCUUGUAGUUCUUAAACGCUUGAUGUCAGCUUUGAUCUUGUAGUUCUUCCUGUGUGAUACUCCAUUCCUCCUUUGUAUUGAUCAGGCCUCCUAACCUGAUAUCAUCAGCUAAUGAUUUUUCAUUAGCACACUCUUACUAGUAGCCUGAGUCAUGAAUAAAUAUAAUAAAUUAAGAAAAGCACUUUGUUAUAUUCUUGCAAAAUUGUUCAUUUGCCUUCUCUCCACCUUGACUGUCCUAUCCAAUUAUCCCUACAUUAGUUUCUCACUUUUAACUAAUAUUUUUCAUACUGUAAUAUGUUGUCAGAGGUGUGAGCUGCUGCAUUCCCCUCUACCAGCACAGGCUCCAGCUCCUUAGGCAAAAGACAGCAUUUAUAUUGUUCUUCUUAGGAGAUUUCUGUAAGAGGGUUGGCUUUAUCUGCAUUGUUUGUCAAUAUGGAUGGGUGCUGCUCUUUCUUAAUUCUGGCCUACAUCAUGGAAUGACGGAAUGGCAACUGUUUUCAAAAUGUAAUUGGUUGCUUCAGUUUUCAGCUUGUCAUUCAGCUUGGCAAGUGAAACCAGAUAAAUCAGUUUUGGGUUGGUUCCCAGUGGUCUCAUGUACUAGCCCAACUGUUUGGUCACAAAUGUUAAAGCAGAAUACUGUAUUAUUUAAAAUGUUCUUUUUUUUAGAUUAGAAGAUGGCUUCAUGUACAACUGUUCAUGUAAAAGCAUUUUAUUGGGUUUAGAAAGUCUGGUGUUUCUUUAGACAAGGGUAAUCUUACCAUUUGGAAGCUGUGGGAAGGAUGCAAGUCUGGGGGUAUUUCUUGCAACCCCACUGUGGUCUUCAAAGCUGUGGUAGUGCAGCAGCAAGUUGUGGGGCUUCUUGUGUGGAAUGGGCUUCUUGUGUGGAAUGGACUUCUUGUGUGGAAUGGGCUGCUUGCCAUCGUUCCCUGCAGGCUGACAGUUUAUCAGCUGACAAUAAAGGAAACUUUUCAAUAAAAGAUAUCUUCUACUGCCUAGAUCUGUAGCUUUGAUUUUACGUAACCUAUACUGCAGACAGGGAGUAGCGAGGAAAAAAAAAAAAAGGAGAUCUUGGCAAGGGAAAAAUAGACAUUGCAUUGAGUUAAAAUAACAUUUCAUCAGCAGAGAAUUAAAGGAUUUUAUCUCUUUAACUCAGAAAAUGCAGCCAAUGCCAAGCUAAAUUUCACUGUUGCAUUUGUUAGUGAACAAGAAGGUAUAAAAUGUAGGUUUCUGCUUUUAGAAAUCACUCUGAGAGCUAUGUUAAAUAACAGAAUCGUUUAUCUAUUGACCUGGGAUGUGGCAAUAUUCAUUAAAGUUUGUGUCCUCCCAGUAACUACAGUGAGAGCAAACCUCUGCUGCUGACUGUAAAUGUGUUUAAGUGGGGUGAGGUGAAAAUGACAGCAGCUUUUGAUGCUGGUCCUAUUCCCCUGGCCCUGGCAGCCUGGUGGCAGAUUUCGAUGAGAAUGUAUUUGGAGUGGGGAAUAUGCCACUGAGCCUUUCAUUUCUGAGUAACAAAAACCGAUUUGAGCCAUGCAGUGCCAACGCAUAAGCUUACUGCUUGCUGUUGUCGGGCUCUGCUGACCUGAGUGCUCUCUGGGAAGGUGAGGGAGGACAAGGACUGCUCCUUGGGCCUGCACUGGGGAAAAGGGCAGUGCUGCUCUCAUGCUUUGAGCUGAUGGUGACUUUGCAGAUGCUGUCGCUGCUGCUGACCCCUGAAGACGGGAGCAGGCUGCCUUCUCUUGAGGCAGUCACCAAUUCCUGUCAUUUCUCUGCCUUUCCGAAGCUGCUGCACCACCCCUCUCAGCAUCAGGCUGCAGAGUCGCUCCCCUGGGGAAAGGCCUCAUGGCUGUCCAGCAGGAUGCCUGAGCUCAGGCGUGCCAUGACUGACAGCAAUUUAUUCUGAAUUGUGGGCUGACUGGGGGGUUUGCCUGUCCUGGUGCCCCCACCACCUUCCCUUCACACGGGGAAGCAGAGGCCUGUCCUGGCAGCGGCUUGCUUCAGGCCUCAUCCUGUCUGUGGGUGGGAGCAAGGUGCAGGCCCAGCACUUCGGCCUGUUUCUUCCCCAAGCUGCCCCUGAUUCCUGAAACAAGUGAACUAAUGAAUUAAAGCAUGUUCAGAGUUGGAGAGCUGGAUUUCUGCCUCUGCUGACAGAGAUCUUACACCAGUUUGUUCCUUCUGAACCGAUGAAGCGUGAGAAGCACAGACGAACCUCACUUGGAAGGGAUUAAACAGCGCUGGCAUUAAAGGUGCUGGCGGAAAUUACAUGCUUCUGCAGAAGCUGUGGAAAGGCUGGCUAGAAAAUACAGCUUAAAAUGGCCCUGCAACCACGGAGGAACAAAAGCUAGAAUGUGAUCUUUCAAACUGAGGUCAAGACGAGAUGGCAUCUUCUGACAAUGGCAGACACAGAACUCUGUGCUUCUUAUUAAAAAUGAAACAGGAUUGAAGAAGCCAGCAGGGCUCUGCUCAUGAUGCUUU